CAGGUAGUGUAUUUCAGAAGAGAGGUAUACAGGUAGUGUAUUUCAGAAGAGAGGUAUACAGGUAGUGUAUUUCAGAAGAGAGGUAUACAGGUAGUGUAUUUCAGAAGAGAGGUAUACAGGUAGUGUAUUUCAGAAGAGAGGUAUACAGGUAGUGUAUUUCAGAAGAGAGGUAUACAGGUAGUGUAUUUCAGAAGAGAGGUAUACAGGUAGUGUAUUUCAGAAGAGAGGUAUACAGGUAGUGUAUUUCAGAAGAGAGGUAUACAGGUAGUGUAUUUCAGAAGAGAGGUAUACAGGUAGUGUAUUUCAGAAGAGAGGUAUACAGGUAGUGUAUUUCAGAAGAGAGGUAUACAGGUAGUGUAUUUCAGAAGAGAGGUAUACAGGUAGUGUAUUUCAGAAGAGAGGUAUACAGGUAGUGUAUUUCAGAAGAGAGGUAUACAGGUAGUGUAUUUCAGAAGAGAGGUAUACAGGUAGUGUAUU